CUCGGUGUACUCUUUCAGUAGGAAGAAGCGAAGUGACGUACUUGCAGAGAGCGCCGCUAACUACGUGCCAGCAGCGCGGUAAUACGUAGGGCGCAAGCGUAUCCGGGAAAUUAUUGGGCGUAAAGAGCUCGUAGGCGGUUUGUCGCGUCUGCCGUGAAAGUCCGGGGCUCAACUCCGGGAUCUGCGGUGGGUACGGGCAGACUAGAGUGAUGUAGGGGAGACUGGAAUUCUGGUGUAGCGGUGAAAUGCGCAGAUAUCAGGAGGAACACCGAUGGCGAAGGCAGGUCUCUGGGCAUUAACUGACGCUGAGGAGCGAAAGCAUGGGGAGCGAACAGGAUUAGAUACCCUGGUAGUCCAUGCCGUAAACGUUGGGCACUAGGUGUGGGGGACAUUCCACGUUUUCCGCGCCGUAGCUAACGCAUUAAGUGCCCCGCCUGGGGAGUACGGCCGCAAGGCUAAAACUCAAAGGAAUUGACGGGGGCCCGCACAAGCGGCGGAGCAUGCGGAUUAAUUCGAUGCAACGCGAAGAACCUUACCAAGGCUUGACAUGGACCGGACCGGGCUGGAAACAGUCCUUCUCCUUUGGGGCCGGUUCACAGGUGGUGCAUGGUUGUCGUCAGCUCGUGUCGUGAGAUGUUGGGUUAAGUCCCGCAACGAGCGCAACCCUCGUUCCAUGUUGCCAGCGCGUAAUGGCGGGGACUCAUGGGAGACUGCCGGGGUCAACUCGGAGGAAGGUGGGGACGACGUCAAAUCAUCAUGCCCCUUAUGUCUUGGGCUUCACGCAUGCUACAAUGGCCGGUACAAAGGGUUGCGAUACUGUGAGGUGGAGCUAAUCCCAAAAAGCCGGUCUCAGUUCGGAUUGGGGUCUGCAACUCGACCCCAUGAAGUCGGAGUCGCUAGUAAUCGCAGAUCAGCUACGCUGCGGUGAAUACGUUCCCGGGCCUUGUACACACCGCCCGUCAAGUCACGAAAGUUGGUAACACCCGAAGCCGGUGGCCUAACCCCUUGUGGGAGGGAG
rnacentral:rRNA from 1 species